UGGGGAAUAUUGGACAAUGGGCGAAAGCCUGAUCCAGCCAUGCCGCGUGUGUGAAGAAGGUCUUCGGAUUGUAAAGCACUUUAAGUUGGGAGGAAGGGCAUUAACCUAAUACGUUAGUGUUUUGACGUUACCGACAGAAUAAGCACCGGCUAACUCUGUGCCAGCAGCCGCGGUAAUACAGAGGGUGCAAGCGUUAAUCGGAAUUACUGGGCGUAAAGCGCGCGUAGGUGGUUUGUUAAGUUGGAUGUGAAAUCCCCGGGCUCAACCUGGGAACUGCAUUCAAAACUGACUGACUAGAGUAUGGUAGAGGGUGGUGGAAUUUCCUGUGUAGCGGUGAAAUGCGUAGAUAUAGGAAGGAACACCAGUGGCGAAGGCGACCACCUGGACUAAUACGGACACUGAGGUGCGAAAGCGUGGGGAGCAAACA
rnacentral:rRNA from 1 species